CAGAAAGAUAGAUUUUUUCUUGAUUCCUUUCAAAUUGUUGUUGUGAACUUUCAUGAAAUAGGGACUCAGUUGUGGCAGUAUACAGUGGUUCUGUUGUACAGGUGAAAUCUCUGCAUCUUCUCAGAUUGCACCAAUUUGUAAUAAUAUUUUACUUGAAUCAUGAACUUUCAACUAUUCUUGUUUCAAAUUGUGUAAUAGGUUUUCUCUUUGACUUCCAUUUUCAAUCACAAUUUGAUUCCCUCUCUUGAGAUUCAAAACACGAUCUAUAUAGAAUAUUGUUUGUUGCCAUAUUUCUAUUUUUGUAUUCAAUGUGGUUUAUUCAUUUGUGGCUUUGUCUUUCUUCCUGUAUUUCCAAUCAAAAUAUACUCAAAGGAGUACGAACGAGUCAGUUCAAUUUCAAUUAUACCAUCGAAUGAAUUUCGCGGAACUUAUGUAUGUAGUGAAAAAAAACAACUAGAAAGAGGAGUAAAAACUUGGGUAAAAAGCAAUUUUUAUUGUGAAUUAACUUUCCAAAAUUGAAAAA